GAUGGUAUAGCUCAAUUGGUACAGUGCAUGCUUAGCAUGCAUGAGGUCGUGGGUUCAAUCCCUAGUACCUCCA
rnacentral:tRNA from 1 species